CCAGCACCCCGAGUGGUCGGGACGUUUAUUGGGCCUAAAGCAUCCGUAGCCGGUUCUACAAGUCUUCCGUUAAAUCCACCUGCUUAACAGAUGGGCUGCGGAAGAUACUAUAGAGCUAGGAGGCGGGAGAGGCAAGCGGUACUCGAUGGGUAGGGGUAAAAUCCGUUGAUCCAUUGAAGACCACCAGUGGCGAAGGCGGCUUGCCAGAACGCGCUCGACGGUGAGGGAUGAAAGCUGGGGGAGCAAACCGGAUUAGAUACCCGGGUAGUCCCAGCUGUAAACGAUGCAGACUCGGUGAUGAGUUGGCUUAUUGCUAACUCAGUGCCGCAGGGAAGCCGUUAAGUUUGCCGCCUGGGGAGUACGGUCGCAAGACUG
rnacentral:rRNA from 1 species